CGGAGAAGGCUAUGUUGGCCGGGCGACGGUUGUCCCGGUUUAAGCGUGUAGGUGUGUGUUCCAGGUAAAUCCGGUUCACUUUAACACUGAGGCGUGACGACGAGGCACUACGGUGCUGAAGCAACAAAUGCCCUGCUUCCAGGAAAAGCCUCUAAGCAUCAGGUAACAUCAAAUCGUACCCCAAACCGACACAGGUGGUCAGGUAGAGAAUACCAAGGCGCUUGAGAGAACUCGGGUGAAGGAACUAGGCAAAAUGGUGCCGUAACUUCGGGAGAAGGCACGCUGACACGUAGGUGAAGUGAUUUACUCAUGGAGCUGAAGUCAGUCGAAGAUACCAGCUGGCUGCAACUGUUUAUUAAAAACACAGCACUGUGCAAACACGAAAGUGGACGUAUACGGUGUGACGCCUGCCCGGUGCCGGAAGGUUAAUUGAUGGGGUCAGCGCAAGCGAAGCUCCUGAUCGAAGCCCCGGUAAACGGCGGCCGUAACUAUAACGGUCCUAAGGUAGCGAAAUUCCUUGUCGGGUAAGUUCCGACCUGCACGAAUGGCGUAAUGAUGGCCAGGCUGUCUCCACCCGAGACUCAGUGAAAUUGAACUCGCUGUGAAGAUGCAGUGUACCCGCGGCAAGACGGAAAGACCCCGUGAACCUUUACUAUAGCUUGACACUGAACAUUGAGCCUUGAUGUGUAGGAUAGGUGGGAGGCUUUGAAGUGUGGACGCCAGUCUGCAUGGAGCCGACCUUGAAAUACCACCCUUUAAUGUUUGAUGUUCUAACGUGGACCCGUUACCCGGGUUGCGGACAGUGUCUGGUGGGUAGUUUGACUGGGGCGGUCUCCUCCUAAAGAGUAACGGAGGAGCACGAAGGUUGGCUAAUCCUGGUCGGACAUCAGGAGGUUAGUGCAAUGGCAUAAGCCAGCUUGACUGCGAGCGUGACGGCGCGAGCAGGUGCGAAAGCAGGUCAUAGUGAUCCGGUGGUUCUGAAUGGAAGGGCCAUCGCUCAACGGAUAAAAGGUACUCCGGGGAUAACAGGCUGAUACCGCCCAAGAGUUCAUAUCGACGGCGGUGUUUGGCACCUCGAUGUCGGCUCAUCACAUCCUGGGGCUGAAGUAGGUCCCAAGGGUAUGGCUGUUCGCCAUUUAAAGUGGUACGCGAGCUGGGUUUAGAACGUCGUGAGACAGUUCGGUCCCUAUCUGCCGUGGGCGCUGGAGAACUGAGGGGGGCUGCUCCUAGUACGAGAGGACCGGAGUGGACGCAUCACUGGUGUUCGGGUUGUCAUGCCAAUGGCACUGCCCGGUAGCUAAAUGCGGAAGAGAUAAGUGCUGAAAGCAUCUAAGCACGAAACUUGCCCCGAG
rnacentral:rRNA from 1 species